rnacentral:misc_RNA from 1 species
CUGUGAAGAUUCAAUCCUUUUAAGAGUGCAUUAUGAGCCUUCUGAUCUCUUAAUAGCAGAGGAAUAUGCCAGAUAUUUGGCACAUCAUAGAGAGUGAUUAUAUUAUCUGCCGGCACAUGACAAAAUUGAGCAAGUUUUUCCUUAACAUUUUGAUCGAGUUCCUUUGUACUGCGGCAAGCUAAAAUAUUUGGUACCAAUCCCAGGCCUCUUAGACCUCGAACACUAUGUUGAGUAGGCUUAGUUUUUUGUUCACCAACCACAUUGAGGACCGGAACAAGGCUAACAUGAACCAGG